UGCGUAGGCGGGUUCGUAAGUCGAGGUUGAAAUAUCCGGGCUCAACUCGGGGCACGGCCUCGAUACUGCGGAUCUCGAGUCGAGAAGAGGGUAGUGGAAUUCCCGGUGUAGCGGUGAAAUGCGUAGAUAUCGGGAAGAACACCAGUGGCGAAGGCGGCUACCUGGUCUUGUACUAACGCUGAUGCACGAAAGCUGGGGGAGCGAACGGGAUUAGAUACCCCGGUAGUCCCAGCCGUAAACGAUGGAUGCUAGGUGUUGUGGGUAUCGACCCCCGCAGUGCCGCAGUUAACACAAUAAGCAUCCCGCCUGGGGAGUACGGCCGCAAGGCUAAAA
rnacentral:rRNA from 1 species